GCGGGCGUAGUUCAAUGGCAGAACAUCAGCUUCCCAAGCUGAGAAUGCGGGUUCGAUUCCCGUCGCCCGCUCCA
rnacentral:tRNA from 2 species